rnacentral:lncRNA from 1 species
AGGAAUUCGUCGCAAUUUUUUCUUCGUUAAUUCUUCAUAUAUUCAUCCGUUUCCCCAAUUCCUGAAAGGGGUUUGGCGGUUUUACCAAUUGAAUUGCGAAUUGGGAUAGCUGGGAUCGGGGGGUUUUGAAUUGAUUUCAUAAUUUAUCGUGGAUUUUUGUUCGUUUUUGGUGGGUUCUUUGUUUGUCGUGUGAUGGGAUUGGGUAACAGUGAGAACAAUUCCAUCGUCGAUGAUGACGGCGACGGCGUCACCGCCGGCGCCGGAGGAGGUGAAGGG